rnacentral:rRNA from 1 species
AGUGAACGCUGGCGGUAGGCCUAACACAUGCAAGUCGAACGGCAGCACAGUAAGAGCUUGCUCUUACGGGUGGCGAGUGGCGGACGGGUGAGGAAUACAUCGGAAUCUACUUUUUCGUGGGGGAUAACGUAGGGAAACUUACGCUCAUACCGCAUACGACCUACGGGUGAAAGCAGGGGAUCUUCGGACCUUGCGCGAUUGAAUGAGCCGCUGUCGGAUUAGCUAGUUGGCGGGGUAAAGGCCCACCAAGGCGACGAUCCGUAGCUGGUCUGGGAGGAUGAUCAGCCACACUGGAACUGAGACACGGUCCAGACUCCUACGGGAGGCAGCAGUGGGGAAUAUUGGACAAUGGGCGCAAGCCUGGUCCAGCCAUACCGCGUGGGUGAAGAAGGCCUUCGGGUUGUAAAGCCCUUUUGUUGGGAAAGAAAAGCAGCAGGUUAAUACCCCGCUGUUCUGACGGUACCCAAAGAAUAAGCACCGGCUAACUUCGUG